UAACGAGGUUUUCCUCGGCAGUUAACUGCAGCCGGUUUUCGAAUUAUUCGGCAGUUAAUUGCCGAGGGGCCA
rfam:Medicago truncatula strain A17 chromosome 3, whole genome shotgun sequence.